GGUACCUAAAGAAUAAGCACCGGCUAACUACGUGCCAGCAGCCGCGGUAAUACGUAGGGUGCGAGCGUUAAUCGGAAUUACUGGGCGUAAAGCGAGCGCAGACGGUUAGUUAAGCAAGAUGUGAAAUCCCUGAGCUCAACUUGGGAACUGCGUUUUGAACUGGCUAGCUAGAGUGUGUCAGAGGGGGGUAGAAUUCCACGUGUAGCAGUGAAAUGCGUAGAGAUGUGGAGGAAUACCGAUGGCGAAGGCAGCCCCCUGGGAUAACACUGACGUUCAUGCUCGAAAGCGUGGGUAGCAAACAGGAUUAGAUACCCUGGUAGUCCACGCCCUAAACGAUGUCAAUUAGCUGUUGGGCAACUUGAUUGCUUAGUAGCGUAGCUAACGCGUGAAAUUGACCGCCUGGGGAGUACGGUCGCAAGAUUAAAACUCAAAGGAAUUGACGGGGACCCGCACAAGCGGUGGAUGAUGUGGAUUAAUUCGAUGCAACGCGAAGAACCUUACCUGGUCUUGACAUGUACGGAAUCUUUCAGAGAUGGAAGAGUGCCUUCGGGAGCCGUAACACAGGUGCUGCAUGGCUGUCGUCAGCUCGUGUCGUGAGAUGUUGGGUUAAGUCCCGCAACGAGCGCAACCCUUGUCAUUAGUUGCCAUCAUUAAGUUGGGCACUCUAAUGAGACUGCCGGUGACAAACCGGAGGAAGGUGGGGAUGACGUCAAGUCCUCAUGGCCCUUAUGACCAGGGCUUCACACGUCAUACAAUGGUCGGUACAGAGGGUAGCCAAGCCGCGAGGUGGAGCCAAUCCCAGAAAACCGAUCGUAGUCCGGAUUGCACUCUGCAACUCGAGUGCAUGAAGUCGGAAUCGCUAGUAAUCGCAGGUCAGCAUACUGCGGUGAAUACGUUCCCGGGUCUUGUACACACCGCCCGUCACACCAUGGGAGUGGGGGAUACCAGAAGUAGAUAGGGUAACCGCAAGGAGCCCGUUUACCACGGUAUGUUUCAUGACCUGUCUCUUAUACACAUCU
rnacentral:rRNA from 1 species